rnacentral:rRNA from 1 species
GAUGAACGCUGGCGGCGUGCUUAACACAUGCAAGUCGAACGGAUUUAUGAUGAAACCUAGUAAUUCAUAAGUUAGUGGCGGACGGGUGAGUAACGCGUGGAUAACCUGCCUUAUACCGGGGGAUAACACUUAGAAAUAGGUGCUAAUACCGCAUAAGCGCACAGAGCCGCAUGGCUUGGUGUGAAAAACUCCGGUGGUAUAAGAUGGAUCCGCGUCUGAUUAGCUAGUUGGUGAGGUAAGGGCUCACCAAGGCGACGAUCAGUAGCCGGCCUGAGAGGGUGAACGGCCACAUUGGGACUGAGACACGGCCCAGACUCCUACGGGAGGCAGCAGUGGGGAAUAUUGCACAAUGGGCGAAAGCCUGAUGCAGCGACGCCGCGUGAGUGAAGAAGUAUUUCGGUAUGUAAAGCUCUAUCAGCAAGGAAGAAAAUGACGGUACUUGACUAAGAAGCCCCGGCUAACUACGUGCCAGCAGCCGCCGUAA